GACGAACGCUGGCGGCGUGCCUAAUACAUGCAAGUAGAACGCUGAAGGAGGAGCUUGCUUCUCUGGAUGAGUUGCGAACGGGUGAGUAACGCGUAGGUAACCUGCCUGGUAGCGGGGGAUAACUAUUGGAAACGAUAGCUAAUACCGCAUAAGAGUAGAUGUUGCAUGACAUUUGCUUAAAAGGUGCAAUUGCAUCACUACCAGAUGGACCUGCGUUGUAUUAGCUAGUUGGUGGGGUAACGGCUUACCAAGGCGACGAUACAUAGCCGACCUGAGAGGGUGAUCGGCCACACUGGGACUGAGACACGGCCCAGACUCCUACGGGAGGCAGCAGUAGGGAAUCUUCGGCAAUGGACGGAAGUCUGACCGAGCAACGCCGCGUGAGUGAAGAAGGUUUUCGGAUCGUAAAGCUCUGUUGUAAGAGAAGAACGAGUGUGAGAGUGGAAAGUUCACACUGUGACGGUAUCGUACCAGAAAGGGACGGCUAACUACGU
rnacentral:rRNA from 1 species